UACGUAGGGUGCGAGCGUUGUCCGGAAUUACUGGGCGUAAAGAGCUCGUAGGCGGUCUGUCGCGUCUGCUGUGAAAACCCGAGGCUCAACCUCGGGCCUGCAGUGGGUACGGGCAGACUAGAGUGCGGUAGGGGAGAAUGGAACUCCUGGUGUAGCGGUGGAAUGCGCAGAUAUCAGGAAGAACACCGAUGGCGAAGGCAGUUCUCUGGGCCGUAACUGACGCUGAGGAGCGAAAGCGUGGGGAGCGAACAGG
rnacentral:rRNA from 1 species